GCCCCCGUUGUCUAAUGGUUAGGACGUCAGACUUCUACCGUGCAGUUAUUACGUGACCGGGAUCUGAAGGUUGCGGGUUCGAGUCCCGCCGGGGGUA
rnacentral:tRNA from 1 species